rnacentral:lncRNA from 1 species
UUGUUGAAUCCGAUGAUUCUGAUGAAGCCCUCCGGGUACGCCUUGAUUGCCUCGUCGAGCUCGUUCACAACCUGCACUGCGUCUGUGCAUCCGAACAUGGGCAACUUCCACAUUGUCCAGUAUCGGCCAUCGUAGUACCCUGGGGAGCUGUUGUACUGACGGAACACAAAUCCGUGCUGCAUCCAUCAAGUUUGCACCAUGAAUAUAAAUAUCAAUCACUAUCAUAAUACUGCUUGUUAAUUUUUUAUAUAAUUAAUUAAUUAAUGAAUGAAAGGUAAUGAAUUAAUAAUUUAUUUUAUCGACCUCCAACUCGAACUCGAUGCAGGGGAUGAGCUUGUUGCGGAGAAGGUAAUCAACUUCCUUGAUGAGUUGCUCCCUGGUUAGUGGGGGAAGGUACGACAGUGUCUCGUACUUCUUGUUGUUAACAGUUGGCCACACCUGCAACAUCAUUUAUUCAUAUAUAUAUGUACCACAAUUAAUUAUAUUACUUAUUGAUUUUAUUAAUUAUAUAUUUAAUUAAUUAAUUUAUUGGUGAAUUAAGUUGGUACGU